rnacentral:rRNA from 1 species
GGACUACUAGGGUUUCUAAUCCUGUUUGCUCCCCACGCUUUCGCGUCUCAGCGUCAGUGUCUGUCCAGGUCGCCGCCUUCGCCACUGGUGUUCCUCCCGAUAUCUACGAAUUUCACCUCUACACCGGGAAUUCCGCGACCCUCUCCAGCACUCAAGCUCGCCAGUUUUCCGCGCACUUCCCUGGUUAAGCCAGGGGCUUUCACACGGAACUUAACAAGCCGCCUACAAGCGCUUUACGCCCAAUAAUUCCGAACAACGCUCGCACCCUCUGUAUUACCGCGGCUGCUGGCAC